CCUGUAAGCCAGGUUUAUUCACCCUCGUCCUAAAAAUUCUUUUGUUUUAAGGGCAGAUUGUUUAAAAAUUGUCCGGAGCAGCCAAAAACUAGAUCUUUAAACAUUUUACAAAAACAGGGGGUAGACGUCCUUUAUUUUUCUUUUUACUAAAACCAGGUAUUAAAAGAGCUCUCUCUAAACCUAAAUAAAGUGGCAGUAGUUUAUCCCAGGCAGAGAGACUCGAGCCUUUAUUUGAUACCCCUCCUUUUAUCUUACUAAUAUUUAUUUUUUGUGUGGCUGUUUUAAAAAAGGCUAGCCCCUGCUUUUAGCUCAAGUUUUAUGAAAACAUAUAUUAGGGAGCUUAAGUCACAAUCCUUUUAUUAUUAUUCCUUUUUAGCUUCCCUGGAUAUUGGAUUUGCCAGUAGGCCCUUAUUAAUAUAAAAGGCUGAACUUGUUAUAAGCUAAGUACAUAUUGUCCGUCACUCUCUUACA
rnacentral:rRNA from 1 species